UACCAGCACCCCGAGUGGUCGGGACGUUUUAUUGGGCCUAAAGGCAUCCGUAGCCGGUUCUACAAGUCUUCCGUUAAAUCCAACUGCUUAACAGGUGGGCUGCGGAAGAUACUAUAGAGCUAGGAGGCGGGAGAGGCAAGCGGUACUCGAUGGGUAGGGGUAAAAUCCGUUGAUCCAUUGAAGACCACCAGUGGCGAAGGCGGCUUGCCAGAACGCGCUCGACGGUGAGGAUGAAAGCUGGGGAG
rnacentral:rRNA from 1 species